AUGUAUUUAACUUGUUUGUAUCAUUUAAAUAUUACUCAGGCACAGGGAUGGCUCCAGGAAAUAAACCAAACAGCAUGCUGCCAUCGGAGGCAAAGUCGUGAGAACGUCCUGUGCCUGUCAGGCGCUCAUUUUUUUUCAGGCAGGUUCCUCAGGUCUCCAACCAAACAGCCUCAUAAGACUUGUCAGGUUCCAGCUCAUGACGGCGCCGGACGAGCAGGGAAGUCUGCUGCCCCGCCGCCGCCGGAGAUGAUGCUGUAUCGCUUCGUUCGCUUCGUCGCGCUGAUCGAGAGGCUUGGCAACGCCUUGGGCACGCUGGCCUUCACCUGGGCGACUGUCGUGCUGCUCGGCGGCUACUCCAAAGACCUCAGUUUGGAGGAUGAUUUUUGGUAUGCGACAGUGAUUGUAUUCCUCGAAGCUACAAGGUAUGACAAAGCAGUUUUGUGA
rnacentral:rRNA from 1 species